rnacentral:tRNA from 1 species
GCCCGGGUGGUGAAAUGGUAUACACGCCAGUUUUAGGAACUGGUGUCGAAAGACGUGGAGGUUCGAGUCCUCUCCCGGGCA